rnacentral:rRNA from 1 species
GCUGGGUCUAAUGCCUGAAUAUUAUGAGGUACUGGAAACAAAGCAAUCCUGGGCCGGUCCAGUACUUGCACAGGAGACCACCUGGGAAUCUGGGCAGCCCCAACA